rnacentral:lncRNA from 1 species
CAUUUUGGAAAUAUUUUUGGUAGAAUUGUCUCAAUUGCACUCGGUGUGUGAUGAUACAGAGGCUCACAUCCAUUGACCUAGAAUGAUAAAUUGGUGACAAGACAUUAAUAUAUUUUGAUAGAUUUGAGUCCUUAUCAGCUGUUCCUUUUUAGUUUUGAUUGAUUACUAUGUCAAGAUAAAUUCCAACAUUAUUAGCAUAAACCGUUACCUAG